rnacentral:tRNA from 1 species
UUCCAUGGAUAGCUCAGUUGGUUAGAGUAUAGUGCUGAUAAUGCCAAGGUUGCAGGUUCAAUCCUUGUAUGGAAU